rnacentral:rRNA from 1 species
GAUCCUGGCUCAGGAUGAACGCUAGCGACAGGCCUAACACAUGCAAGUCGAGGGGCAGCGCGGAGUAGCAUACUUGGCGGCGACCGGCGCACGGGUGAGUAACACGUAUGCAACCAACCCAGUAACAGGGGGAUAACCCGGAGAAAUCCGGACUAAUACCGCAUAAGACCACGAUAUCGCAUGAUAGUAGAGGUCAAAUAUUUAUAGGUUAUGGACGGGCAUGCGUCUGAUUAGCUGGUUGGCGGGGUAACGCCCACAAGGCAUCGAUCAGUAGGGGUUCUGAGAGGAAGGUCCCCCACAUUGGAACUGAGACACGGUCCAAACUCCUACGGGAGGCAGCAGUGAGGAAUAUUGGUCAAUGGGCGAAAGCCUGAACCAGCCAUGUCGCGUGAAGGAAUGAAGGUCCUAUGGAUUGUAAACUUCUUUUGCAGGAGGGUAAAGUGAGCUACGUGUAGUUCAUUGCAAGUACCCUGCGAAUAAGCAUCGGUUAACUCCGUGCCAGCAGCAGC